CUUAUCCAUUCGUCCUGAAAUUUACUAGCCAGAAAUGCGAUUGCUUUACAAAAGAAAGAACCAUUUUGAAAUACCAGUGUUUUUACUUUCUAAAAAAUAAAUUAUGCA